GGUUCUGUAGCUCAGUUGGUUAGAGUGUUGGUCUGAUAUGCCAAAGGUCAUGGGUUUCAAACCCCAUUGGGACCA
rfam:Triticum urartu cultivar G1812 contig874194, whole genome shotgun sequence.